UACGUAGGGGGCAAGCGUUGUUCGGAUUCAUUGGGCGUAAAGGGUGCGUAGGCGGCGCGGUAAGUCGGGUGUGAAAUCUCGGGGCUUAACUCCGAAACUGCAUUCGAUACUGUCGUGCUUGAGGACUGGAGAGGAGACUGGAAUUUACGGUGUAGCGGUGAAAUGCGUAGAUAUCGUAAGGAAGACCAGUGGCGAAGGCGGGUCUCUGGACAGUUCCUGACGCUGAGGCACGAAGGCUAGGGGAGCAAACGGG
rnacentral:rRNA from 1 species